ensembl:lncRNA
UAGCAGGCGGCCGGGCCGAGCCCACUCCCCGCGCCGGAGCAGCGAGCGGCACGGCAGGUCCGAUCCUGCGUACUUCCCAGCAGGGGCCCAAGGCUUUGGAAAGAUUCAGUCCAUCCAGAUUGGGGCUUUCACUCAAGCUCCCUAUGGACUGUGAAGCCCUGGAAAGAAGUCUGUAUGUACAAAUAAUUUUCUACGGAGUGGCUCUAUGAAGUUCAUCAGCUUUCCAAAUUACAUGAAGAAGAUGCUGUGAACCAGUGUGGGUUAGGAAACACUGCUGUCUUUCCUGGUCACCGUUGAGUCCCUUCCUGCCCGGACCCACAUGGCUCCCAGCACUACAAACACAGCACACAUGUCCCACCCUGUGAGCACCCGAGACUGUCGCAGGACCAUGAGGCUCAUUCCACAGAUGGAGAUGGGCGUCUGAGUCCACACCUGGCCUGCAGCUGGCCAGGCCCCGGCCCCGGGCGGCAGCCUCCUGUGAGUGUCGUGUUGGGGAGUCCUCCGCAGAGAACCCUCCCCCACUGCCUGUUCCCAUCGACUCGGUCACCCUCCCUGGGCCUGUGCAGUCCCUGGGUGACUCUAGGCACCCAGCCUUCCACUCUCCCUAGGUCCCCUGGGCCACCCAGUCUCUAGCCCUGGCUGAGCGCCUCAGUCUCCCUCUUGCCCCAGGCAGACCUUCAGCUCAGAGAAAUUGUCAGGACCACAAGUAUUACUGACAGCCACAACAAAGCUGGGCCGGCUGACUGGCUUUCCUGAGGAGGCCUAGUCUUCGCUGGAAGCUGGAGAACAGCACCUUUGUCAAUAUGAGAGGCAGCCUAGGGAGCAGGCGCCUGCCACUUCCUUAACCACCCGAAGGCAUUCGGUGAACGUGUGUUCCAAAAUAAACCUUGGGCAGGCACUUAAACUUACGAUUUUUAAAAACAAUCUUUUAAAAUUAGAAUUAUUUUCAUUCUUACAAAAUUCAGUUUAAAAAAUGUUGUGAAAGGAAGAACUACCGCAGAGCCAGAUUAUGAACUUGCUCAGAGCUAAGGGCGGAGAUUUGGGACACCAAGGCUGAGCUAGACCAGUGGUCUAGGGCUGGGAGUCCCGGUCCCCCGGCCUGGGGCAGAAGACAGGAGGGAGGGGAGAGCAGGAAGGUGAAACCAGGGACCUGAAAUGCACUUCUGGAGGAGAGAAGAGGAAGGAGAAUUGCAUGCUGAGUAAGGAAGAGCAGAGGAGCCAUGGGAGGAAGAGCCCAGGACAGAGGCUGGGUCACAGCUGGGGAGGGAUAGGACUCCCAAGACGAGAGGCAGUCAGACCAUGGGACCCCGUGCAGACCAGGGAUGGGUGGAAAACAAGAAUGAGGGUAGGGAUGGUCCCUGUGUGGGACAGAAUGGGCAGUGAAGAGCACAAGGAAACAGCUGAAGGCCCACGCUGAGGAAGGAGGGACUUAGGGAGGCACUGCAGGAGGCAGUGUCGGGAGACAGGGCGGGCCAGGGAGACCACAGGGAAGGAAGCCAGAGUCACCAGAGUAGGGCAGCAGAGGGCACCCAGACAGGGAGCCCUGAGGCCAGAGCUGAUCCUUCACAACCACUGAGUGAGGCUGGAGCCUCAUCUGGCCAGGAAUGGAAACACUCUGCAACACCAGUGGAGUCAGUACUGCCCCUUGCAAAAACUCAAGACGAAAUGCAUGGGUCCGGAGUGUUGAGCAUUCAGAUGUAUAUUCUUGGAGUUUUUAUAACCCUUUAUAACCAUCACGUUCAUGUCCUUUUGCAUUUUAUGUAGUUGGUUUAUAGGCAAGCACAAACAUUGGGGAAGAAGAGGUGAUUGUUAAGAGACCAGCAUUGUGUCUGAGUAUGUGCCUUUCUGGUUGAGCAGUUACCUUGCACCUCUGAGAAGAAAUGAUGGCCUUUAAUGAUGCCAUAUUACAUAUACUGUAUUUGGAAGGGUUUUAAAUGUCUUAGCUGGUAAGACUGGAGAAUAUAGGGUGUUAAUAUGUCCUUAAAAUUUUAACAGCUACCUACCCUGAGUCCGGUCUGACCAUUAAAUCAUCCUAGAACCACAAAUCUGAUUCCAGAAAUAAAUCUAAAAGAAAUAAUUACCAUUCCCACAGGUCCAUUAGUAAGAGUGGGCCAGUGAUUAAGCAAUUGUCCCUCAGUGCCAAGCCAAACUCCACAGUGGGCUUGGAGGCACGAGGGCUAAUGCUCUGCAAAUUACAUUUCUCCACUGCCAUCUGGCCCUCUUCUACUUGGCCAGUAGUAGGGCACUGGAGGAAGCUGAAAGGCAGAAGAGGAAACAAAGAACUUGCUCCUUCCUCUGUCCUUGCUAUCCCUGCCAGCUCGACCCCACCGAAGCCUUCUCCCCCCAUUUCCAAAGAUCAUUUGCUCCAGAGUCAGAUCCUUCAGCUCUGAGUCCACUUCGUGGGUCUGAGGGGCUCCCUGACUUGUGGGGUGUUCAGUCUGGCCGUGGCCUGGGCCGAUCCUCGUGGCGGCCCUCUGUGGGCCUUCUAGGCACUGCUGGUCCUCAGCCCUCCUCCCUGGGUGGCACCCUGUGGAUGGCAGCUACUCCCUGGAGUUAGGUUCUUGGUGCUGCUUCAGGGUCGCCAUGUUCCUCGCCGGCCCUUCAAUCCUUAACGUCCAGUUUCUUAUACAAAUUUUUCUCUGGCAGAAAAACUCAUACAGUUGUCUUUUCAUGACCCAAUUCUGACUCAUGCAGAGAAGUUCAAGGUCUUCUGUAGGGAACUUUAUAGGACCUGUCUCAAAAUUCCUCUUAAAUCUCCAUCUUUCCAAAGUAGCUUACUCCCUGCAGUUGUUAAAAGUUCGUCCACUCUGCCACCCAGCUGUCCCGGUUUAUGUUUCACUUCCGAGGGUCAUCAGUCCCCUUAAUCCACCACACCCAGGUAUGGAUUUCAGAAGUGUGGCUCUGGGGCUCCCUCCCCCUGUGAAGCCACAGAAGAGGCUUCUGUGCUUCCCGCUGAAUGUUUUCCAGUGCUUUUCUCGAAAAUUAGCCUUCCUGACACUAAUGGAAAAGAAAAGCCAUCACCUUGUUAGGUAGCUUGGCUGAAUCUUUGUGGUCUUCCAUAAAAGGAAGCAUAAAAUGUAUUUAUUCACAUGGUCAGAAGCCUCUCCUAUUUAUGGUAUUUUUUUUCUUUCUUUUAAAAGCCAAAUACUGUUCUUUUUGCUUUCUUAUUUUAAUGUAAUAUAAGUAGAUAUCAAUAAAGAAAAUAUAAAAAGCACCCUUCUAUGAAAAAAUAAAACAAUUUCAUAACAAUUACAGAGUAACAGUAGUUGUGUUCUUUUUCUUUCUCCCUGGACAAGCAGGAUUCCUUUGGAAUGCAGUGUCACAUAGCCAGGUCACAAACAUUGCUGUGGGCCCCUGUCUGAGAAAGCACACUGACACAGCGCUCUAACCCUGUCCCAUCCCUUCUAGGUUUUGUGGGAUAACAUCACUAAGAACACCCCCUGACCACCAGUGUGGGCCCUGCCCACAGACUGGGAAGCAUGGAGCAAUCCACACGACCUAUCCAAGUGGCCCUUGCAAUUCCACUUGGGGUGGGGUCCUUGUCAUCACAGCAAAUUGGGAAGGUGUCACCCAUGUUGUGUCCCUCCGCUUUCCCUAACAGGGUCUCUGGAGGGCAGAGUUUAUCUCUUAUUAGCUUGUUUCUUUCAGAAAGUAUCUGCAUAAGGACAGUCAAUUGCAUUUUAUAUGAAGACACAACCAAGUUCACUCUGAUAUGUUUACUUACUCAUUUGCGAUGGCCUAAAGGUCUCAUCUGCAUUAUUCAGCUGAGAAGCAAGAGAGAGACUUUUUGUAAAAAAUACAGAUAUCAUCCCUUUCCUACAAGAAAUGAAGAGUAGGUAAUGGUAUUUCCAUAUAUUUAAAUCUUUGACUUUCACAGGGAAGAAUAAUUCAUUCUUGGUUGUUUUUUUUUUAAAUCAUGAGUCACUGAAAUAAGACAGAAUAGGGGUGAGGAGGCACAUUUGGAAUGGUGCUGUGAGGCUCUUCCUGAGCUUUCUCCUCAGUACAUCAACUAUAACUGGUAAAAAUUCUGUGUGUGUGUUUGUAUUUCCAUUUAAGGUCUCUGAAACUGUCCUAAGGGCAUACAGAAAAUAGAAAAAAUAUUCCAGAAAGUCAAAUAAAACUAAGAUUUGGUAAGAAGAGUGAAAACGGGAGACCGGUAAAUCAUGAUGUACUCUCCACCCCCAAGUCAGGGAAGGAAAACUUGUAAUCUUGACAGUUGUUGCCCAAAACACAGGCUCCUCUGUCCCCGAGAUUCCAGCCUGGAGUGCAGACUGCUCUCUGGCAGGAGGAGGCAGGAAGUGAUACUUCAGCCUCUGAGUUCCACGUGGCAAAAGCUGUCUUCCAGGAAAGAGGGACCUAGAGGUCUUUGACUUCCUUCUUCCACUCAGAAAGCAAAUGUUUAGAAAUUUUGCUCAAUUGAAGGAGACAUGUCCUCUCCAAGAUAGGCAAGAAUGCUGAGCCCCAAACACCUCAAACCACACUCACUCUUCUGGCAGAGGUUCUGUACAGAAGGGUCAGUUUAAGAAGACAAGUGAAACUGCCCCCACCCAUCUCCUGUCUUGUAGAACAGAAGCACCAUGGUGGGAGAAGUGUGUGGUCACCAUCCUCAUUCCCAGCUGUGGAGCAAAGCCAGAGAGGUUUUGUCCAGGAGAGAGGUAUAAGAAGAGAAAGUUUUAUGGUUAACCCCAAGAGAAUUGAAUUUGCUUGGAAAAAAGAGUGAAAUUCCAAGCCUGAAAGGUGCCAUAAAAAAGUGAAGAUUUGCAGGAUAACCAAUUAAGCAGUCAAUAACUCUAUGCCAGCAACAAAUUCAACUGUAGACCAGGUAAAAGUUUAAUACAGAGAACCAAGUAAAGAAUCAGAUAAAUCACUUCUGAGGACAAAAUUAGAUAUGAAGAUUGGUUUUAAAUACUAGCCUUACCAGGGACCACAAAUUUAACUGGAUCAGACUACAGGGCAGUGUAUUUCUCAGGGCAUUAUCAAAAAUGAUGGAGUGGUCAGUGAACAGUUACUAGAGGCUAACACCUUCCUGUGAUAACAAUAGGGACAGACUAGCCAGAAGUCUAAGAGAAAGAUCAGGAAGAGAGCAGGAGAGGAGAGGAGAGACAAAGAGAAUCCUUUUAAAAGCACUGUCUCUCAGGAUAACUGUGUCCAUCCCCCAUGCUCUGUCUUCUGAAGACAAACUCAGAAGCUGCCAGUUGAAGACAAAGGCUUCAUUAAAGUAGUCCAGGAAAGUCACCAAAAAUAAACAAAAACAUCAAUGAGUCCUGGGCUAGAGGGGAUAUGUAUCCGGAGAUAUAUUAUGUAGAAUGUCCAAUUUUCAACAAAAAAUAUGAAAUGUGCAAAAAUACACCUUGUGGUAUCUUAGUUACUUUUCUCAUUGCUGGAACACAAUACUUGACACCCCCAAGUUGAAGGAGGAAAGGUUUAUCUUAGCUCACAGUGUGUAGAGAUUUCAGUCCACAGUUGGCUGGCUCCCAGGCAGGACCUCAAGGUAGAUGGUCAUGGCAGAGAAGAAUCAGUCCAUGGCAUGGUAGGCAGUAAGCAGCAGCCUUCCUUCAUUCCCUUCUCAUUCUAUCCAGGCUACAAGCCUAUUGGUUGGUGACAUCCACACUUGGGGUGGGUUUUUCAUCUUCAUUAAAUUCAUUCAACCACAUCCAGAACUAUGCUAAACCACUCAGUGGACUAAUCCAGUAUCACACACCCAAAUCCAAUACUGUACACCCAUGAUCCAGUCACUCCCAAAGCCCUUUCUGUGAAUGCAUGAAGCUUUAGAGGGUGAGGAUGUCUAGAAAAAAGCCAUAACAUGACACAUACAUGUUUUAAAAAUUAACAACAAAAACUACCUGUGAGAGGGCUCAGAUGUUACAGUACAAAACCUUCAGAGCAGCUAUUAAUAUAUUUUAAAAUUUUAAAGAAAUACUACUUAGCAAGUAAAGGAAUGUAUACAACAUUACCUCAUAAAAUAGAGACUACUAACACAAAGAUAGAAACUGUAAGAAAGAACCAAGCUGAUAUUCUGGACUUUAAAGCAAAAUAAUUGAAGUAAAUAAUUCCAUACAGGAGCUCAAUAGUAAUUUGAAUUCACAGAACAAAGAAAUAACACACAUGAAAUUUGGUGGUACACACCUACAGCACUCAGGAGGCUGAGGUAGGAGGAUUGCCACAAGUUCAAGGCCAGCCUGAGUUACAUAGUGAGCUCAAGCAUCGCCUGAACUGCAUAGUAAGACCCUGUCUUAAAAAAAAUACAUAAGAUUUAAUUGAUAGACUGAUUAUUCAAUCCAAAAACAAAAAUGAAAAAGAUUAAAGUGGAAAUUAACAGAGCCUCAUAGAAAUAGGGAACUACACUAAAAACAUCAAUAAAUGUAUAACUGGCAUACCAAAAUAAGAGGAAAAAGAGAGAAAACAGUAGAAAAAAAUAAUUGAAGAAAUAAUCAUCAAAAAAUUUUCAAGUUUGAUGAAAAACAUGAAUUUAUACAUCUGAGAAGCUCAACAAACCCCAAGUAGGAUAAACAAAUAAAUUACAGUGAGACAUAUAUUUGAAUGUUAAAUGCCAAAGACAAAGAGAAAAUCUGGAAAGCAGAAAGAGAGACUGUCCUCAUGGAUAAACAGCCAGUUUCACAGGAGAAGCCAUCCUCUGUUGCUUUCUGUCUUGUGUUCAUCCAGUUCCUUUCUAUCUCCCCUAGUCCUUCUCUUAGAAUGGAAAUGUGUACCCUGUGCCAUUGAAUGUUGGAAAUAUUUAACUUUCUUUUAAUUUUCAUAAGGGCUCACAGCUAAGAGCUUGCCUUGAGUCUCAGAGGAGACUUUGACUUGGGGUUUUCAUCACUGCUGAAACUGUUAUGACUUUGACCACUUGUAGGGGUAGAGUAAAUGUAUUUAACGUAAUGAGGUGAACAUGAGCCUUCUGGGGCAGGGCAUAGAAGGCUAUGGUUUAGAUCAAGAGUGGGGCUUCUGGAAGGUGGUAGCAUCACGAGGGUGCUGCAGUCUUCAGUUAUCUAUUGACAAGUCCAUAGGUGAAUGUGGUGUUACGAGGGGGGCCUUGUUUGGAAGAGGUGUGUCACUGGGAGCAUCCCUUGGGAGGGCAUAUAUUCCUCUUUUAUGCCUCCCUUCUCUCUCUGCUUCUGUCUUCCAUGAGGUGAGCAGCUUUCCUCUUCUAAGCCCUUCUGCCAUGUUUCUAUCUUGGAGCCCACCAAUCAUGAACUGAAUCCUCUGAAAUUUGUGAGCUAAAGUAAACUUCUCCUCUUUUAAGUUAAGAGUGUUGAGUAUUUUCCCCAGCAAUAGGAAAACUAAUUUAAACAAUAAAAUACAUAUUUUCUUAACUGAGUUGAAAAGCAAUGUUAUAAAAUAAUAUGAGUAUUAUUGGACUAAAGGUUUUAUAACAUUCAGAAAUAUAAUGUAUAUGACAAUAACAGCACAAAGGAAACAAAUGGAAGAAAAGAUGAAUUAGAGUGAGGAAAUUAUUCCAGACAGUAAGUCCAGGAAGAAAUGAAGAAAACUAGAAAUGCUAUAUCAGAAGAUUAAUAUAAUAAACUUUAAAUAAAUACUCACUCUUUUGUUCUUCAGCUUUCUAAAAAGACAUAAAAUUAGAUAAAUUACUAAUAACCACUCCAAAAUAUUUUGGGUCUGUAACAUGCAUGUGCAAGAUAUAUGUAACCAAAAUAGCCCAGAAAAGAAGAGGAAAAGAAAGGCAUAGGGAUGGUUUUCUGUACUCGUCGGGAUUAAAAUAGUACAUAUGUGAAGUGGAUUAUGUAUCUCAGGAUAUCUAUCGCAAUGUUAUUAAAAUAACUUUAAAAAACUAUAAAGGAAUUAAGCUCCUACAUAAAAAAUGUUCAGUAAUGGAGAGAAAAGUCUUGAAUUAUAAAAUCAAGUAUCAAAGAAGUGACAUAACUGCCAGCCUAUAGCAAUAAGAAGUUGGUGUGGACAACUAUCUUUUGAACAAAUUAGCAUAGAUAAAAUGAACAAAUUUCUAGGAAGAUGUAAACUGUUUACUCUGCCUUAAAAGCUAAUAGAAAAUAAGAAUACACUGUAACAUUGAAGAAGUUGAAUUAGUAACUUAAAGUUUUAUGAAGAAAAGCCCAGGCCUUCAUUAUUUAAUUCCACCAAACCUGGCAUGACAAACUUUUCUGAAAAACAGAAAAGGAGAAGACAUUUCCAAGUGAAUUCCAGGGAGCAGUAUUACUCUGAUGUUCAAGAUGUGAUAAAGCAGGGAAAGCAUUUACUAAUGAUGGUGAACCUUUUAGAGCUUUCAAUGACACAAAUAACCAGUUGCAGCAUGCGUGCCAUAGGUUCUCCACCACUUGUAUACACUACUAUCUUAUGAUUAUCAACACAAAAACCAUCAACAAAGUAGUCCAAAUACAAAUUCAACAACGUAUAAAAAAGAAUUUAUAUCAUGUGCUAGUGAGAUUUUCCCCUCAGGAAUGCAAGGUCAGUUUCACAUUCCAAAUCAAUUACUGUUAGGCAUAGAACGAAGGACAAAACAUACAUGAUUAUUUCAAAAGAAGAAAAAAUACCCGCAAAACCCAACUGACCAUCUGACAAAAUUCAAAACCCUUUCAUGAUAAAAACACACUCACUAAAACUAGAAAGAGAGGGAGGGUUCCUCAAGUUGAUAAAGUGCAUCUACACAAAGCUUAUGAGCCAGACAUGAUGGCACACACUUAUAAUCCCAGCUGUCUAGGAGGUUGAGACAGGAGAAUCACAAAUUUCAGCCAUACUUAGCAAUCAAUACAGGGAGACUCUGUCUCUGAAUAAAACAUGAAAAAGACUGGAGAUGUAGCUCAGUGUGAAGGCCCUGGGCUUAUUCCCCGGUACCUGCCAGAACUUUUGAUAAUAAAGGACUGAAAGCUUUCUCCCUAAGAUUAGGAAUUAAAACAAGGACUUGCUACUUGAAUUAGUUGUCAUACCAGAAGUUGCAGCCAGAGCACUUAGGCAAGAAAAAGAAAAAUGGCAUCUGGGCUGGAAAUAAAUAAGUAAAACUUUUUACAGGUAGUAUUAUCUUGUAUGUAGAAAAUGCCAGAAAGAAGAACCCAUUACCACUAAUAAACCCAGCAAAGCUGCAAUUUAAAAGAACAAUUGUAUUUCUAUAUGCUGAC